rnacentral:rRNA from 1 species
CUAAUACCGCAUAAGAUUACAGUACCGCAUGAUACAGUGAUCAAAGGAGCAAUCUGCUGAAAGAUGGGCUCGCGUCCGAUUAGAUAGUUGGUGAGGUAACGGCUCACCAAGUCGACGAUCGGUAGCCGGACUGAGAGGUUGAACGGCCACAUUGGGACUGAGACACGGCCCAGACUCCUACGGGAGGCAGCAGUGGGGAAUAUUGCACAAUGGGCGAAAGCCUGAUGCAGCAACGCCGCGUGAGGGAAGACGGUUUUCGGAUUGUAAACCUCUGUUUUCGGUGACGAAUAAAUGACGGUAACCGAGUAGGAAGCCACGGCUAACUACGUGCCAGCAGCCGCGGUAAUACGUAGGUGGCAAGCGUUAUCCGGAAUUACUGGGUGUAAAGGGAGCGCAGGCGGGAUAGCAAGUCAGUUGUGAAAACUAUGGGCUCAACCCAUAGAUUGCAGUUGAAACUGUUAUUCUUGAGUGGAGUAGAGGCAAGCGGAAUUCCGAGUGUAGCGGUGAAAUGCGUAGAUAUUCGGAGGAACACCAGUGGCGAAGGCGGCUUGCUGGGCUCUAACUGACGCUGAGGCUCGAAAGUGUGGGGAGCAAACAGGAUUAGAUACCCUGGUAGUCCACACUGUAAAC